GAUGAACGCUAGCGGCAGGCUUAACACAUGCAAGUCGAGGGGCAGCGUGGAGCAGCAAUGCUCUGACGGCGACCGGCGGAAGGGUGCGUAACACGUGAGCGACUUGCCCGUCACAGGGGGAUAACCGGCGGAAACGGCGACUAAUACCCCAUACGAUGCGAUGCUGCAUGGCAUUGCAUUGAAAGAUUCAUCGGUGGCGGAUAGGCUCGCGGGACAUUAGCUAGACGGCGGGGCAACGGCCCACCGUGGCGACGAUGUCUAGGGGUUCUGAGAGGAAGGCCCCCCCANACUGGGACUGAGACACGGCCCAGACUCCUACGGGAGGCAGCAGUGAGGAUAUUGGUCAAUGGCGAAGCCUGAACCAGCCAUGCCGCGUGAAGGACUAAGGCCCUACGGGUCGUAAACUCUUUAGACGCAGAGCAAUAAGGUCCAAC
rnacentral:rRNA from 1 species